AUGUGUGUGUAAAUAAGGGACUGGAUCAGACACACCCCAUAUUACCUUGUAUGGGACAGGGUCUUAGUGAUAUAAUUUCAGUCUGGACAGCAACUGCUGGCAGCCAACUAGUCAAGGGCAAAAGGGACAUGGCUUUAUGAUCCAAGGGGACUUAUGUGGGAAGAGGAUACUGCCAGCAGUAAAUGCUUAGGAGGAGGGUUGAAAGCUCGCUGUCACACUAGAAAUAAAUCACUUACAAGUGGAAGUCUUAACAAGCUGCUGAUAUCCACAAAAUGACAAGGAGAGAAGUUGUGGAUCUCACAGCACUGGCCAAACCCCCUCCACAUCACAGGUAUGACCCUUAGGUCAUCGACUCUUAAAUGCAGUUUCUCUUCAUACGCAUAAAUAUUUCAUUACCAGGGUUUGAACAUAGUUAUACUUGUUAUCCAGGGAUAUUUAUAGGGGCCAUUUCUGUCAUAAUUAGAUGUCAAAUAAACUAAAUAACAGCAUUGUUUGUUACCAUUAAUAAUAAUGAUAUGAAUACUGUCAUUAAUGGUAACUGCUGCUUUGAAGGGAGUUAAUCCACAGCUUUAACUGGUUCUGAAUUAUUUCCAGAUUUCCAGAAGUAUUUGGAAACACAAAGAAUGAAGAAGCUGUUUCAAAAUGUAACUGAAUGUGACAGUGUCUGAUGUCUGAACUUCUGUUGCUUCCUGCUAGCUGAAGAAAAUAAAGCCUGUUUCCAGCUUUCCA